ACAAAAAUGGCAAUAUCUUUUUUAGUCUUCCUCCCCCCAAUGGAAUGAGCACAACAAGGUGCUAAUACCACCAUUAAAAGGGAAAAAAACUAAUGAAGAUGUGCCAAUACAAGUUACAUAUUGGUCUUUGUAUUAUCUCUAACAAAUUUCAUAAAUCCUUCAAGGUUCGGAGGAGUUUUUGUUGGUGGUGGCAAAAAAGAAGCUUGUUCAUCACGCUUCCGGUCGAACCAGCAUCCUUCGUAAGUUCCGCUAUUAUUUCUUCACAAUUUUCGUCUAUCUUCGGUUGUGAUUCAGCAAGUCCAAAAUUUCUUCUUUCCAAACGAAUUCAAUCUCUAAAGAGUACUAAUUUUUCCAAGCUCUCCCUCAUAGACGAUCUAUAAUCAUUUACUUGAAGUCUCGCUUGACUGAAGCGCUCUCUAAUGUCACUGUUGAAGCUGUAACACAUAAAAUAUCUCGAGUCAUCCUUGAAGGAAUCGAAAAGUAUUUUUCUUUGGCCUUCCACAAUUUCAAAAGAUCAAAGGAACCGUCUGUAUUCUCCUUUUCAAGGCCCUUCGACAAAUAAACUUGAAGCUCAUUUAGAUGUGAAGUAUCAUCAAUAUUAUCACCUUGAGAACCCCUAAAAUUCGUCCAAGAACUAAGUGCUUUUAAGCCCACAUUUCUUUUAGAUGAUUGCGAACUAGAUGAAGCAGGAGUUGGAACAUUUGGUCUAGCAUGAUCUAAGGCUUGUUGAUAAGCAUUAUAAAUUAUUUGAGUUAAUUAAGGCAUUUGCAUCUGCAAGUGUAUCUAAUUCCUCAUUUGAGAGAUCCAAAGCUCUAUAAAUAUUUAAAUAUCAAAAGUGAGGACCUCCUAAUUUUAUGGUAGGUUUUAGUAUGGCAGCAACUAGGGGUGUACAAAGAAAACCGAUAAACCGCACCAACCCGAUAAUCCGAGUC
rnacentral:lncRNA from 1 species